rnacentral:snRNA from 1 species
UUCCACUAGGUGAAUAUGGCGCA